GAAGAACUGACUGUCUUGUUAGGGUGCGGUUGGAUAUCAGACCUCAGGUUGCACUCUAAGAUAAAACAGUGUUACUUGCUCACACAUUACACGAUUGACCUCUUACCAUGAGUGAGGACUGCUCUGGCCAGAAAGGGAAUCAGAAGAGUCCUGGUACAAAAAAAAGUCCAUCUAGAGAGCUGCAAUUAUGAAGUUAAUGGAGUAGUCAAAUACUACAACGUUGAAUGUACCCAAGAACCUGCAAACCUAUGCUGUCUGCCUAAGCAAUCUGCAUUAUGUGCUGGCAGCUAUGGCUCCUGUGGAAUUUAUGUUCUGAGCACUGAGGAAGAGCAUCUCCCCCUGAAGUCAUCUAGCACUGAUUUCACAUUCUGGCUAUCCUGUAUUUGCUGUAAUUGGAAAAAUGUUUAAUUUUUUCAAAGUUUUCUUGAUAAAAUAUUCACAGAGGAAAUGCAGCAUUGUCUCUUUUUCAGGGAACAUGUCCUCUUGUGUUUCGAUUUCCACGAGAAUUGCAGGAAAGGAGUUCUUGUAAUAGCUGCUCUUGCUUAUGCCUGUAGGAGUGGGAAGGAGGACAUCAACUGGUAGCAUAAGCCCAGACACCUGAGUACCAUACCAUUCUCCUCUGAGAUUCUGGGCAAGUCUUUCCAUUUCUAUGUACUGCUCUUCUCCCUCUAAACUGAA
rnacentral:lncRNA from 1 species